GACGAACGCUGGCGGCGCGCCUAACACAUGCAAGUCGAACGGAGAUAAGGAGGAGCUUGCUCCACCUUAUCUGAGUGGCGGACGGGUGAGUAACGCGUGAGCAACCUGCCUUAGAGUGGGGAAUAACACAGUGAAAAUUGUGCUAAUACCGCAUAAUGCAGUUGGGCCGCAUGGCUCUGACUGCCAAAGAUUUAUCGCUCUGAGAUGGCCUCGCGUCUGAUUAGCUAGUUGGUGGGGUAACGGCCCACCAAGGCGACGAUCAGUAGCCGGACUGAGAGGUUGGCCGGCCACAUUGGGACUGAGACACGGCCCAG
rnacentral:rRNA from 1 species